rnacentral:rRNA from 1 species
AUACGGAGGACGCGAGCGUUAUCCGGAUUCAUUGGGUUUAAAGGGCGCGUAGGCGGCCCGGUAAGUCUGGAGUGAAAGUCCUGUUUUUAAGAUGGGAAUUGCUUUGGAUACUGUCGGGCUUGAGUGCAGGAGAGGUAAGUGGAAUUCCCAGUGUAGCGGUGAAAUGCGUAGAGAUUGGGAGGAACACCAGUGGCGAAGGCGACUUACUGGACUGUAACUGACGCUGAGGCGCGAAAGUGUGGGGAGCAAACAGGAUUAGAUACCCUGGUAGUCCACACUGUAAACGAUGAAUGCUAGGUGUAAGAGGUAUCGACCCCUUUUGUGCCGGAGUCAACACAAUAAGCAUUCCGCCUGGGGAGUACGGCCGCAAGGUUGAAACUCAAAUGAAUUGACGGGG